ACCCAGCUCGCUCGUUGUGAACUUCAUUUCCCUAAUGACCAGUAAUCUAAGGAAAGAAGCUGCUUUGGUAUCGUUGCACUUUGCCUUAAGCGGGAAGCAACUGGAGCAUCAUGGGAAUGUUGUCAGGUGGCUGCAACAGGUCUACCUUCCAGUGGAGUACAACCUUGUAUUUUCCUCAAUACCACCAGACGUGAAAACAGCCGUUUCUGAACAGCUUUGACAUUUGGUGUCAAGGGUGCAUGAUUCCUUCAAGACAAGCAGUGGUGCCGGAGGUCAGAGCAGGAUGGAGGCAGAUGAAAAACUCUUCCCAAGGGUUCCCAGACUCACAUGUCCUUACCAGAAAGCCAAAUCAGAGGGUCGGCAGAUCAAAUGGGGUUUCAGAGCAUUGUGCAGCGGCUCUGCAGUGAAGUCACUCUAGUGACCCUGGGAUUUGAACCGACACUCUCCUGAUCACAGGCAUAGUAUCCUAACCUUCUGAACCACGCACCAAACUUAACAGAAGCUCUGAUACUAGCCACAGCUUGUAGCCCCAAAGUGACUCUAUUUCUUUUCUGUCUCAGUCUCAUAUUCCAGUUUUUCAUUUUUCUACGCGUCCUUUUUGUGACACGUCACCCCUGUCCCUGGCAAACCCCCCUUUUCCCUCUUCUCCAGGUCCCAGUGUCGUGUUCACCCUCCAGAUCCAAGAUGUUCCCCAAGUCCCAUUAACACCCUGGAACAGCCUGAUAUGUAAUACAGGGAGAGAAAGCUUUGCCAUUCACAGCUGUACUCUGUUCCCCGGAGCUCGUGCUGAUUAAUUAUCAUUUAUUUGGAUAGAAAAAUCACAUUACUUAGAUUUUGCAGGUGUAAAUAAUUUGCUGCCCGGGCCUCUUUCCAGAGAGAAGCGCAUCUUUUGAAUGUGAAAAGGCAAAGAGGCAUUAAUUAGUCUGCUGAGAAUCGGGACACGAUGCAACUUCAUAAAU